rnacentral:rRNA from 1 species
GAACGCUAGCUACAGGCUUAACACAUGCAGGUCGAGGGGCAUCAGGAAGAAAGCUUGCUUUCUUUGCUGGCGACCGGCGCACGGGUGAGUAACACGUAUCCAACCUGCCCUUUACUCGGGGAUAGCCUUUCGAAAGAAAGAUUAAUACCCGAUAGCAUAAUGAUUCCGCAUGGUUUCAUUAUUAAAGGAUUCCGGUAAAGGAUGGGGAUGCGUUCCAUUAGGUUGUUGGUGAGGUAACGGCCCACCAAGCCUUCGAUGGAUAGGGGUUCUGAGAGGAAGGUCCCCCACAUUGGAACUGAGACACGGUCCAAACUCCUACGGGAGGCAGCAGUGAGGAAUAUUGGUCAAUGGGCGCUAGCCUGAACCAGCCAAGUAGCGUGAAGGAUGAAGGCUCUAUGGGUCGUAAACUUCUUUUAUAUAAGAAUAAAGUGCAGUAUGUAUACUGUUUUGUAUGUAUUAUAUGAAUAAGGAUCGGCUAACUCCGUGCCAGCAGCCGCGGUAAUACGGAGGAUCCGAGCGUUAUCCGGAUUUAUUGGGUUUAAAGGGAGCGUAGGUGGACUGGUAAGUCAGUUGUGAAAGUUUGCGGCUCAACCGUAAAAUUGCAGUUGAUACUGUCAGUCUUGAGUACAGUAGAGGUGGGCGGAAUUCGUGGUGUAGCGGUGAAAUGCUUAGAUAUCACGAAGAACUCCGAUUGCGAAGGCAGCUCACUGGACUGCAACUGACACUGAUGCUCGAAAGUGUGGGUAUCAAACAGGAUUAGAUACCCUGGUAGUCCACACAGUAAACGAUGAAUACUCGCUGUUUGCGAUAUACAGUAAGCGGCCAAGCGAAAGCAUUAAGUAUUCCACCUGGGGAGUACGCCGGCAACGGUGAAACUCAAAGGAAUUGACGGGGGCCCGCACAAGCGGAGGAACAUGUGGUUUAAUUCGAUGAUACGCGAGGAACCUUACCCGGGCUUAAAUUGCAGUGGAAUGAUGUGGAAACAUGUCAGUGAGCAAUCACCGCUGUGAAGGUGCUGCAUGGUUGUCGUCAGCUCGUGCCGUGAGGUGUCGGCUUAAGUGCCAUAACGAGCGCAACCCUUAUCUUCAGUUACUAACAGGUCAUGCUGAGGACUCUGGAGAGACUGCCGUCGUAAGAUGUGAGGAAGGUGGGGAUGACGUCAAAUCAGCACGGCCCUUACGUCCGGGGCUACACACGUGUUACAAUGGGGGGUACAGAAGGCAGCUAGCGGGUGACCGUAUGCUAAUCCCAAAAGCCUCUCUCAGUUCGGAUCGAAGUCUGCAACCCGACUUCGUGAAGCUGGAUUCGCUAGUAAUCGCGCAUCAGCCACGGCGCGGUGAAUACGUUCCCGGGCCUUGUACACACCGCCCGUCAAGCCAUGGGAGCCGGGGGUACCUGAAGUACGUAACCGCAAGGAUCGUCCUAGGGUAAAACUGGUGACUGGGGC